rnacentral:lncRNA from 1 species
UUUUUUUUUUUUUUUUUUUUUGGCCCUUUUCAGCCACACUUGCGGCAUAUGGAGGUUCCCAGUUUAGAGAUCCAAUAGAAGCUACAGCUAUCAGCCUAUGGCACAAACCACAGAUCUGAGCCAUGUCUGCAACCUACACCACAGCUCACGGCAACACCAGAUCCUUAACCCACUGAGCCCCACUGAGUGAGACCAGGGAUCGAAGCUUCAACUUCAUGGUUCCUAGUCUGAUUCAUUUUUUACUGCACCACAACAGGAACUCCCAAAAAUUAAGUUUUGAUGUGACCCUCAUAUAACUGCUGAUAAAAUGUCAUGCAACAAGAACAUAAGUCAGUUUCUAUUUAUUUGAGAUAAUUUGGGGUCUAAAUUGACCCAAUCUGGACAACACUAGUUUUAUCAUACGAGUCAGUCAAUCACUCAUAGGUCCAGUGCUUUUAACACAAAUAAAGGAAAAACAAAUAAUACAUGAUGGUUUGUUUUCUUUUUUUAUUCAUCAUGUUUAUUUUUUGUUCAAGUAAUAAUUAUAAUUCGUUAGAGGUGUGGGAAGUAAAAAUAUUCCCAUACUCUUACUGUCCCAAAGCUGCGGUUAUUAUAGUUGCCACUAAACCUCCCAGACUUUUAUCAUAUACAACAUAUGUAUAUGUAUAUGUGUAUAACCUAGUUAAAAAUGCUAAUUAAUUCUUUUUGGUUCUCAGGUUCUCAUUUUACCUUCAUCUUCUUAACAUUUGACACAAUUAAUUACUUCUUUCUUCUCAAAACUCCUAUUUCUCUUAUUCAAUAGUGUUGAGCUUAAACACAUAAACUCCUUUUCUUUAGCACCAUAUUUUAAACAGUGACCAAAAUCUGCUAAUGCUACCAUUUGACUGUUUCUCUUAAAUACCAUUUUAUCUCCCCUGGAUGGCUGCAUUAAACUUCAAACUAGUCUCCUUGUCCUCUCUAAUAUACAUCUCCGAUUGCCACUAACAUAACAUUUUCCAGUGAAAUAGGAUGGUGUCACUUCUCUAACUGAAGUCCUUCAAUGACUUCCUUGUGCCUAUACGAUGAAGUUCAUACUUCUCAACACAAAAUGUAAGACCCUAUAUGACCUUAGCCCUGCUUAACUUGUCAUCUGUACCUUUCACUAAGUCAGCCUUUCAUACUUCACGAUCCAGUAAAACUAAACCACAGAAUUUGCUCCUUCUAUCUGGAUUGUCACAAUCACCUCCUCCCUUCCCUAUUUCUUGAGCCCAUUUAAUAAACAUUGUAUCUGUCUCAUCUUUCAACACUCAGUUUAAGCAUUACCAUUUUGACGAAGCCUUCUUUUUCUGUAAACUCUCAGGUAAAACGCCUCAUUCUUGUUAUGCAGUUUCUUGUAUUUUUAUGUAUUUUUUAAUUUUGCCUAUCCACAUCUAAUGAAUUAUAAACUACUUGAACGAAAAAUCUGAGACUGAGUUGUUGCUAUAUCCUUAACAAAAAUCUUAGGAAUGCGUUGUCUUCUCAUCUCUCUCAUAAUGGGGAUUAUGGUUGAACCUCUACUAUUCUAGACUUUUUAUAUGAAUUAUUUUAUUUAAUAUUCACACUAAUUCCACCUCUUCCUUAGAGAAUUAAAAGCUCCAGGACUCAUGGAGUCUGAGUAACUCACCCAAAGUUACACAGCUAGUAAACGUGGGGCCAGAUUUCAAGUAUGGCAGCUUCAACAGCUGUUUCUUCUCCCACCAGGUAGCUCUGACUUAGCAUUUGAUAUCGCUGUAUUUAUGCUGUCCUUUGAGAUUUAUGCCUAAUUUAUGCCCCAUCCUCAGUAAGAGACAAGGGAUCCCACUUUCUUCUUUCAGCUUGAGAGAUUACUCAAUAUAAAACUUUCCUUAUACCAGAUCUGUCUACAUAGAAAGGAAGGGAGACAAAAAGGCUCAGAGAUGGUUUACAUUUAAAAUUGGAACCCUGGGAAUGGUUUCAUAGCCUAGGGUGUUAAUCAAAUAUUAGUCUCUCUAAUAUCAUUCCUGCAGGAAAAUGAGGAAUUUAUAGAGUGAAGUAGUUGAAUGAUAGAUAGAUACAUAGAUAGACAGACACAGACAGACAGAUGAUAGAUAGAUAGAUACCUUAUAGGCUUAUACAUUUAUUUAGAAAAUGUUACCACACAUGAGUUUGACUGAGUUGCCAGGGCUUGCUGUAAGAUUUUAGCUCCAUACUUUAUGAUUAAUAAUUUUCUUGAGAAAAUAUUCAGCAUCUGCUUUCUUCUCACCAAAUGUUUUCUGCUCUGUGUAUCGUUUACUUGGCCAAAGUUAAUAUUGCAAACAAAAAUGUUAAUAACUACAUUUAAUCUACUUAUGUUUAUUAUUUAAUAAAUAUAAAACUCUACAUUCCAAAUAUUCAUUCUAGGAAAGCUCCUUUUUCAAAUCUAAGACUAAACGUUAUUGGAAGAGAAAUGAAAGAACCUAGUCCCCCCCAUAUUAACUGUUAGACAAUUAAAACAACCAAUUUUAGAAGCUACCUGAAAAUUAUCAAACAUUGGCAAUAAAUAUGAGUUGUAAUUGGAUCCUGUCAUCCCAUAAACUUAUUAAUGACCCAAUAUGUGGGACAAUAUUUUUUCUUAUCAGUUCUAUUUCUCAGAACCCUGUUUAAAAAAACCUAUUGCCUCUACUGAAAUUAGCAAUAGCCCUUCUAAACUUUAGAGUUUUCAUCUAAAAUAUCAGUUCUCAAAAGUGUGGUCUUGAGACCCCAGUAAUUCUGUAUGGGCAUCCAAAAGGUCAAAACUAUUUGCAAAACAAUACUAUUUUUUGAAAAUAUUAUUUGUAUUUUUCAUUCUCAUUCUCUCCCAAAUGUACAACAGAGUUUCCCAAGGCUACAUAAUAUGAAAUAGCAUAAGAAACUGGUGCAGAAGAUAAUGUGAGAAUUCAGCAAUUUUUAUUAGCUGGGUAUUUUAAGGUAAAUUGCAAAAAUAUAAAAUCUCACUGUCUUUUGGUGUGUUAUAGGCACAUGAAAAAAAUUUCAUAUCACUAAUCAGCACAGAAAUGCAACGCAAAACCACAAUGAGACAUCACCUCACACACUUUAGAAGGGCUAGUAUCAAAAAGGUCAGAAAUGACAAGUGUUGGAUACAAUACGGAGAAAAGGGAAUGCUCUUCCUCUGUUGCUGGGAAUGUAAACUGGUGCAGCCACCAGUAUGUUGGUAUCUCAAAAAAUUAAAAAUAGAAAGAACUACCAUAUAAUCCAGCAAUUCCACUUCUGGGUAUUUAUCCAAAGAGGACAAAAACACUAAUUAGAAAAGACAUAUACACCCUAUGUUCACUGCAGCAUUAUUUACAACAGCCAAGAUAUGGAAACAACCUAAGUGCCUAGUGACAGAUAAAUGGAGAAAGAAUUGGCAUGUGUGUGUAUAUAUAUGAUGCAUAUACAUAUAUAUAUAAUGUCACAGCUGUAGCAACUCUGGAUCCUUAACUUGCUACACCACAGCAAGAACUCCUAUUCUACUCUAUUCUUGCCACAUAUGUGCUUUCUGUUUAGCUUAUUGGCCAUCCUUGGUAUAUUGUUCUACUUUGGGUUGUCUGUUAUCUUACAAAAUCUAAGAUAGUUAAAGUCUUCUGAUUCUUACCUUUAAACAGACAAAUUAAUUUCUGUCAAUAACUCCAUCUGAGGGAAUGAUACAUGUGUUGGUGACAUUUCACAGACAGACUUCAUAGAUUCUGUUCUGAACAAACAUAUGGUGCCAUCACGGAUAUCUGUGAGCUUUAUCAUUUAAAAAAAAAAAAAAAGAAUUUCUUGAUGUCAGAGAGUUUUCAUGUUGCUGUUGUGUAGGAUGAUGAAUUAUCUUAAAAUUAUUUAGGUUUUCAUUAUAUCAGACCCCACCUGGGCCUUCCACAGAUUCCACAGGACUACAGAGCAGCCCAGAAUAAUUAUAAUCAUAAUUAUUAAUAUGCGAUAUCAUAUCUAUGCGAUAUUAAUACCUAAACUUGGAGCCCAACUUGGAGGUGCUCAGAACAGAGCAGCAGUCCUGAACACUCCUUUUAAACACUCUCUCCUUUUAUGACUGAUCCUCCACACACUUCUAGUCCUUCUCCCAUCUCUAAUGACAACAGUCCACGCCUUACACAGACCUCUUUCAAUGGCUAUGCCUCAGCCCUUCUCUCUCCUCAUCCCACAGGCAAGCAUGUCCACACUCACGUGUGCAGGUAUCAGCUCUCUACAGAUGACUCUCAAAUCACAAGUCCAACCUCAACUUAGCUUGUGAAGGCAAGGCCUCAAUUUCUACUAGAAUGUUCAGUAACUUCCGAUGUUUGAUAACUGUUCUAACAACUGUUAAAUAGCUCUUCUCAUAAUAUACAAAACCCAAUUCACUACUUUUCCCAACAAACAACACAACUUAAAUUUGCUCCUCUCUCUCUACUUCACCGGCUUUCGACUAUAAGGAAUUUUGUCCUCCACCCUCAGCUCCAGGGUACUUUUGCCAAUGCCUGGAGAUAUUUUGCUUGUCACAAUUGAGGAAGGGGUUCUAUUGGUAUCUAGUGGGUAGGAUCAGUGAUGUUUCUAAGAACCCUACUAUGCACAGGACAGGACCCACAGAAAAGAAUGAUCUAAUGUGCUGCUAGUGCCAAGAUAGGUCACUCUAAUCCCAUCAUUGUCCAUCUUCCCUCCAGCCAAACAAGGGUCCCAGGGCUCUGGCAAAGAUGUGGAUACCAGAAGCCUUCAUGGCUGAAUUUUAAACUGGCUCAACUGGAGGUCAUGGAGCAACAGAGCCCUGAAUACAGCAGGAGGGCCACCAAGGUGAAGAUGGCCUCAAAAAACAAAUGGAAAGUGAUUGAAAGUCAUGUUAUAUUGGAAAUUGCCACUGAAAUAUCAAAAUGUAAUAAAUGCUGCAUUUUUAAUGGAUGCUAUGCUGUAUGAAGUUUUUCAAAAGAUUGAGUUGAUCAUUCCAUGAUUCUCUCAACUAUCUCAGCCAAUUUGAAGGUUAAAAACAGGCUGAAGAGCAGCAGUGGAGAGUAUUUCAGUGUGCAAGGUAUCUUGGCAAAUUGCUACCCCUUGUACCAGAGGCCCACCUCUGGAGGAACAGAUGGGAAAGUGGCAGAAGCCUGCUCCUUAUCUCCAACUGGUAAGAGGGAGUUCCCAGGGACUGCUCAGACGUGGACAUGUCUUCUCUGUUUGUGGAGAUGCAGUAGCCUACUGCACAGCUCAGACCUGGGCAAUUUAGAUGCUGAGAUGGGCUGGCGAGCAGGUUUAGAAGCAGCAUGCUGCUGAGUUAGGAUAAGUUUGCUUUCCCAGAGCCUGCCUGAGACAAAAACGUGUUUGUGCUUUCCAUUGACCAGAUGAGGCUCAGGCAGCAAGUGAGUUAUAUACAAGAACUGCCUAUGAUAAGUCCUCAGUAGGCAAAGGCUCAAGAUGGAUAAGGGAAUUUCUGGGAGCUGCAGAGGAAGGAAGUGACCCACUGAAAUAGAGAAGCUUUGAUCUGCAUUAAGGUGCUACAGACAAGACACUCUGGAUGUGCCAGGGUCCCCAAGGACUCCCCAAAAGUGCUCCCAAGAAGAGAAUCCGCUCUAAUCCAUCUGUCAGGCUGGAGAGAACAGUCAGGCUAAAACAGUAGCCAAGCAACAACUUUUACAUCUCCCUUAUUGCUCCUCCCUCCCCUACAGCCUGACAAACCAAGAGAAACAAUGCUAGGAGCAAAGCUGCCAGCAGCCAUGGCAAAGCAAGCCCCUGCUUGGCAAGAAGUGGUAGGAGGAGGUUUGAACUUUAAAUUCCCUAUCUGAUUUCUGUUAUUUGAUGGCAUAUUCUCCUUAUUUUUGUUUUUGGUUUUUGUUUGCUUUUUAGGGCCACACCCAUGGCAUAUGGAAGUUCCCAGGCUAGGGGUCAAAUCAGAGCUGCAGGUGCCAGCCUAGGCCACAGACACAGAUCUGGACUGACUGGUGCCAGAUCCAAGCUGCAUCUGCAGCCUACACCACAGCUCACAGCAAUGCCAGAUCCUUAAUCCACUGAGCAAGGUCAGGGAUCAAACCGGCAUCCUCGUGGAUAAUAGUUGGGUUCAUUUCUGCAGAGCCACAAUGGGAACUCCCAUAUUCUCCUUAAUGUAUUGAGAUGAGUUAUCUAAAGCUACUAUAUUUCCUCCUCUCACCUGAGAUGGGAGAAGAAAAGUAUGCAGCCUGCCCAGAUGUGGAUGCACUGAUAGGGAAGGUACUAGCCAUAACGAGUAGCAUAAAAAAAUCAGUGGGGACACUGUCCUUUGAAAAGAAUUACUUCCACACUUAUAGUUCCUGUGUGUCUAUCAGUUCCAAAGGUGUGGGCAGUGAGUCAAACCUAAAUUCAAAGGGGUGGAUCUGGCACCAAUCAGUUCAACAGUAUGAAUGAAUAUACAAGGG